rnacentral:rRNA from 1 species
AGUGAACGCUGGCGGUAGGCCUAACACAUGCAAGUCGAACGGCAGCACAGUAAGAGCUUGCUCUUACGGGUGGCGAGUGGCGGACGGGUGAGGAAUACAUCGGAAUCUACUUUUUCGUGGGGGAUAACGUAGGGAAACUUACGCUAAUACCGCAUACGACCUACGGGUGAAAGCAGGGGAUCUUCGGACCUUGCGCGAUUGAAUGAGCCGAUGUCGGAUUAGCUAGUUGGCGGGGUAAAGGCCCACCAAGGCGACGAUCCGUAGCUGGUGUGAGAGGAUGAUCAGCCACACUGGAACUGGGACACGGUCCAGACGCCUACGGGAGGCAGCAGUGGGGAAUAUUGGACAAUGGGCGCAAGCCUGAUCCAGCCAUACCGCGUGGGUGAAGAAGGCCUUCGGGUUGUAAAGCCCUUUUGUUGGGAAAGAAAAGCAGCAGGUUAAUACCACGCUGUUCUGACGGUACCCAAAGAAUAAGCACCGGCUAACUUCGUG